rnacentral:rRNA from 1 species
AACGAACGCUGGCGGCAUGCCUAACACAUGCAAGUCGAACGAAGCCUUCGGGCUUAGUGGCGCACGGGUGCGUAACGCGUGGGAAUCUGCCCUUGGGUUCGGAAUAACAGUUAGAAAUGACUGCUAAUACCGAAUGAUGUCUUCGGACCAAAGAUUUAUCGCCCAAGGAUGAGCCCGCGUCGGAUUAGCUAGUUGGUGAGGUAAAGGCUCACCAAGGCGACGAUCCGUAGCUGGUCUGAGAGGAUGAUCAGCCACACUGGGACUGAGACACGGCCCAGACUCCUACGGGAGGCAGCAGUGGGGAAUAUUGGACAAUGGGCGAAAGCCUGAUCCAGCCAUGCCGCGUGAGUGAUGAAGGCCUUAGGGUUGUAAAGCUCUUUCACCCACGACGAUGAUGACGGUAGUGGGAGAAGAAGCCCCGGCUAACUUCGUGCCAGCAGCCGCGGUAAU